rnacentral:rRNA from 1 species
UACGAAGGGGGCUAGCGUUGUUCGGAAUUACUGGGUUUAAAGGGUGUGUAGGCGGGCUAUUAAGUCAGUGGUGAAAUCUCCGGGCUCAACCUGGAAACUGCCAUUGAUACUAUUAGUCUUGAAUUCUGUUGAGGUGGGCGGAAUAAGUCAUGUAGCGGUGAAAUGCAUAGAUAUGACUUAGAACACCAAUUGCGAAGGCAGCUCGCUAAACAGACAUUGACGCUGAGGCACGAAAGCGUGGGGAUCAAACAGG